rnacentral:rRNA from 1 species
UACAGAGGGCGCGAGCGUUGUCCGGAAUCACUGGGCGUAAAGGGCGCGUAGGUGGCGGCAUAAGGCCGUGGUGAAAGUCUGGGGCUCAACCCCAGAUCGGCCAUGGCGACUGUGUCGCUAGGGUACUGUAGAGGCAGGUGGAAUUCCGGGUGUAGCGGUGGAAUGCGUAGAGAUCCGGAGGAACACCAGUGGCGAAGGCGACACGCUGGGCCGUACCUGACACUGAGGCGCGAUAGCAUGGGGGAGCAAACAGGG